AGCCCAGCAACUCCGAUCCCUACCACCUCAUGGUACUGGCCGGGGUACGAGUAUCCUCAGGAAAGAUCGGGUAACCAGCCUCGGUGGGAACUUUGGUCGUAUACUGACAGGAAAGG
rnacentral:ribozyme from 1 species